rnacentral:rRNA from 1 species
GAUGAACGCUGGCGGCGUGCUUAACACAUGCCAGUCGAACGAUGAAACCCAGCUUGCUGGGUGGAUUAGUGGCGAACGGGUGAGUAACACGUGAGUAACCUGCCCUUGACUCUGGGAUAAGCCUGGGAAACUGGGUCUAAUACUGGAUAUGACUUCUCAUCGCAUGGUGGGGGGUGGAAAGAUUUAUUGGUCUUGGAUGGACUCGCGGCCUAUCAGCUUGUUGGUGAGGUAAUGGCUCAUCAAGGCGACGACGGGUAGCCGGCCUGAGAGGGUGACCGGCCACACUGGGACUGAGACACGGCCCAGACUCCUACGGGAGGCAGCAGUGGGGAAUAUUGCACAAUGGGCGCAAGCCUGAUGCAGCGACGCCGCGUGAGGGAUGACGGCCUUCGGGUUGUAAACCUCUUUCAGUAGGGAAGAAGCGAGAGUGACGGUACCUGCAGAAGAAGCGCCGGCUAACUACGUG